rnacentral:rRNA from 1 species
UACAGAGGUGGCAAGCGUUGUUCGGAAUUACUGGGCGUAAAGGGCGCGUAGGCGGCCAUCUAAGUCAGACGUGAAAUCCCCCCGGCUUAACCUGGGAACUGCGUCUGAUACUGGAAGGCUUGAGGAUGGGAGAGGGAUGUAGAAUUCCAGGUGUAGCGGUGAAAUGCGUAGAUAUCUGCAGGAACACCCGUGGCGAAAGCGGCGCGCUGGACCACUACUGACGCUGAGGAACGAAAGCUAGGGGAGCAAACAGG